GUGAGCCCACAAAAUCUCAAAGAGAUCUUCAACAUCCUCUCAAGCAUGUCUGUUGAUGAUCCGGAGCAUCCAAAGAAUCGACAGACAUCGAUCGAAGGAGUUCGAUCAGUAUCGACCGUCAAAAGGGCUCUACAACGAGCUAGCACUUGUGAGGAGUCGAUCAGACCGGGAGCUUCGUGUGGAUGAUCCACAGAGGCCAGACAUGCUGUGUGGCUAUGUCACGACGAUCAGACUCUUCCAACGGAGAUCAGAUUGCGGCGAUCUACUACCCGCACAAAGGUAUUGUGUUCUGAACACAUUACAAUAAAGUGUUUAUUAUUCAAAUUCGAAUUUUAAAUUUAAAUGCAUGCAUGCUAUAUAUCAUAUUUAGAUCCUAGUGUAGGAUAAAUUCAUGUUAAUUAAUUAGAUUAAUUAAUAUUUUUUCACUAUAAAAUCAUGAUUUUGAAAAAGUUUUAAAAUUAUCAUUUUACCCCU
rnacentral:lncRNA from 1 species